GUGCUCGCUUCGGCAGCACAUAUACUAAAAUUGGAACGAUACAGAGAAGAUUAGCAUGGCCCCUGCGCAAGGAUAAAAUCUACUUUCCAGCAGUCUGCAGAAUCAUU
rnacentral:snRNA from 1 species